GAUCAUGGCUCAGGAUGAACGCUAGCUACAGGCUUAACACAUGCAAGUCGAGGGGCAUCGGGAAGAAAGCUUGCUUUCUUUGCUGGCGACCGGCGCACGGGUGAGUAACACGUAUCCAACCUGCCCUUUACUCGGGGAUAGCCUUUCGAAAGAAAGAUUAAUACCCGAUGGGAUAAUUAUUCCGCAUGGUUUGUAUUAUUAAGGAUCCGUAAGGAUGGGAGUGCGUUCCAUUAGGUUGUUGGUGAGGUAACGG
rnacentral:rRNA from 1 species